rnacentral:rRNA from 1 species
CGUAGGUGGCGAGCGUUGUCCGGAAUUACUGGGUUUAAAGGGUGCGUAGGCGGACUUUUAAGUCAGUGGUGAAAGCUGGUAGCUUAACUAUCAAAUUGCCAUUGAAACUGAAAGUCUCGAGUAUGGUUGAGGUGGCCGGAAUGUAUCAUGUAGCGGUGAAAUGCUUAGAUAUGAUACAGAACACCAAUUGCGAAGGCAGGUCACUAAACCAUAACUGACGCUGAGGCACGAAAGCGUGGGGAGCAAACAGGAUUAGAUACCCUGGUAGUCCACGCCCUAAACGUUGAUAACUCGCUGUUGGCGAUAUACAGUCAGCGGCUAAGCGAAAGCGGUAAGUUAUCCACCUGGGGAGUACGGUCGCAAGAUUG